GACAGAGGCCUCGAGCGUUAGGCGGAAUCACUGGGCUUAAAGCGUGUGUAGGCGGAUCGUUAAGUACCUUGUGAAAUCCCACGGCUCAACCGUGGAACUGCUCGGUAUACUGGCGAUCUUGAGCCACCUAGGGGCAACUGGAACAAGCGGUGGAGCGGUGAAAUGCGUAGAUAUCGCUUGGAACGCCAACGGUGAAAACAGGUUGCUGGGGGUGUGCUGACGCUGAGACACGAAAGCCAGGGGAGCGAACGGG
rnacentral:rRNA from 1 species